CCCUCCGUUCCGGAAUAUGCUUGUGCAAAUCUGAUGAUGAUGCUUGUGCAAAUAUGCUUGUGCUUAUGCAAAUAUGAUGAUACAUGGCCAUUAUCUGAAGUUUGUCCUUUUUUUCUUUAGGGGAAAUUUGUGGUAUAUCCAUUUCUGCUAACAUUUCUUGGAGAUGUUUUUGUGUAUUGGUGUGCUGUCAGUGCCUAGGCACAGUGCGAUACUAGCUUUAUAUGUUCACAAGUUAAAUUGCCACCUGUCAACACAUUGUAAUUUUUAUUCACAAGUACUGCUUCAGUCACCACAUUUUUAUUCGUAACCCAAGCCUUUGUCUGAUGAUACAAUACCCAUAUUUCGGACAACCCUGAUUUGCUCUGCUUGGCACACCUAAAUGUUCACCAGGAACUUACCGUACUCUGGGAGAAGAUGAGAUGUCAUGAUGUAACCAUGUAACUGCACGUGUUCUUCAAACAUGUGUGAAGUGGUGCUCGCAGCCAGAGAGGGAUGCUAUUUUCGUUGCCCUGCAGCCGCACUUGCUCGCUCUUUCUCGCCAGAAAUAUGUUGUUUUCCUCGUAAAGAAGCUCGUAAAACUUGCCACCAAAAAACAGUUUGCCUGGUUCAUUUCAUCCGUUCAUGGCAAAGUUGCUUCGCUACUUCGUCACACGAUAGGAGCGGCAG